GACAGGCCUAGCAUGCUGAAUCCUAGAGCGAUGGAGACAGACCCAUCCUUGGAGACAUGCACUCAGAGCAGAGCAGAGACAGAGGGAGAGAGAACGGAGACCAGAGAGGGACCCACCAGGAGCCCCAGCCCCCUGUCCCCCAAUAGGUCUUCAGCUGCUCACAACCUUACUACUCCCCCUAAACUCACCCCUACUCCCCCUAAACUGAAUCCCCCCCGCCCUUCUAAACUCACCCCCACUCCCUCUGCUAGUAUGCUCACUCUCACCUCUACAUGCACACCCUCUUCCUCCUCUACACCUACCCCCAAUCCCCCUAAACUGAACCCCACCCCCUCACCUCCCCCCACGCUCACUCAUAAAACCCUCACUACCUUCACCCCUAUGGUACUCAACCCCACCCCAACAUGUACACCUACUUCCCCCUCACUUACUCCCAACCCCGUCACCCCUACAAUACUCAACCCCACCCCAACAUGUACACCUACUCCCCCCACACUUACACCCUCUCUACCUACACCCACGCAUGCCCCCACUAAAGUCACUCACAAACCUGUUCCUUUUCCCCUCACUCCCCCCACCAUCCAUUUUACUUCCCCUCUACUCACUCCCUCCCGCUCCUCCCCCACUGUAUCAGCCAUCACUUCUCUGCCCCCCUCCUCUGUAAACCAUGGCAACAUAUCUUCUGCUCCCGGGACUUCCUCCUUGACCAAUGGUAACGCAAGGCCAGUCCCCAAACCCACCUCUCCACCAAUCACGCCUUUCCAUACCCCGGCCAGCAGACAGAUACAUUUCCCUCGCCCCCUGGAUACACCCACUCUGGUGCAAGCCUAUCAGAGCACCUCGUCUGUCAGACAGAGGGUAUCCCAGCAGGCUUUGCUCCUAGGUCGGAGUUCUUGUUCCAGCCGAGACCAGAUGCUGCUCAGGACCCAGAUGGUAACAACACACACACCAACACCUGUCAGCCUACAUCUACCAACUGAUAGUGUGUAACAACACACACACCAACACCUGUCAGCUCUACUUCUACCAACUGAUAGUAACAACACACACACCAACACCUGUCAGCUCUACAUCUACAAACUGAUAGUAACAACACACACACCAACACCUGUCAGCUCUACAUCUACCAACUGAUAGUGUGUAACAACACACACACACCAACACCUGUCAGCUCUACUUCUACCAACUGAUAGUAACAACACACACACACCACACCUGUCAGCUCUAAAUCUACCAACUGAUAGUGUGUAACAACACACACACCAACACCUGUCAGCUCUACAUCUACCAACUGAUAGUGUGUAACAACACACACACCAACACCUGUCAGCUCUACAUCUACCAACUGAUAGUGUGUAACAACACACACACCAACACCUGUCAGCUCUACAUCUACCAACUGAUAGUAACAACACACACACCAACACCUGUCAGCUCUACAUCUACCAACUGAUAGUAACAACACACACACCAACACCUGUCAGCUCUACAUCUACCAACUGAUAGUGUGUAACAACACACACACCAACACCUGUCAGCUCUACUUCUACCAACUGAUAGUAACAACACACACACACCAACACCUGUCAGCUCUACAUCUACCAACUGAUAGUGUGUAACAACACACACACCAACACCUGUCAGCUCUACAUCUACCAACUGAUAGUAACAACACACACACCAACACCUGUCAGCUCUACAUCUACCAACUGAUAGUAACAACACACACACCAACACCUGUCAGCUCUACAUCUACCAACUGAUAGUAACAACACACACACCACACCUGUCAGCUCUAAAUCUACCAACUGAUAGUGUGUAACAACACACACACCAACACCUGUCAGCUCUACAUCUACCAACUGAUAGUGUGUAACAACACACACACCAACACCUGUCAGCUCUACAUCUACCAACUGAUAGUAACAACACACACACCAACACCUGUCAGCUCUACAUCUACCAACUGAUAGUAACAACACACACAUCAACACCUGUCAGCUCUACAUCUACCAACUGAUAGUAACAACACACACACCAACACCUGUCAGCUCUACAUCUACCAACUGAUAGUGUGUAACAACACACACACACCAACACCUGUCAGCCUACUUCUACCGACUGAUAGUGUGUAACAACACACACACCAACACACACACNUAACUCUGAAUGUUACAUAACUCCUGGAGGACAUAUAACUCUGAAUGGUACAUAACUCCUGGAGGUUAUAUAACUCUGAAUGGUACAUAACUCCUGGAUGUUAUAUAACUCUGAAUGGUACAUAACUCCUGGAUGUUAUAUAACUCUGAAUGGUACAUAACUCCUGGAUGUUAUAUAACUCUGAAUGGUACAUAACGCCUGUUGGUUAUAUAACUCUGAAUGGUACAUAAUGCCUGUUGGUUAUAUAACUCUGAAUGGUACAUAACGCCUGUUGGUUAUAUAACUCUGAAUGGUACAUAACGCCUGUUGGUUAUAUAACUCUGAAUGUACAUAACUUUGAGGAUACAUAACUUCCCUGAACUCUCUUUUUUUUCUGAUGGAGGCAGGCAGAGUCUUGUAGGCAGGGAGUCUGUUACAUAAUACACACACAUAAACACACACACUCUCUCUGGGAUGUUUAGGGUGGGGCUACUGGUUUGCAGAAUCAUAACACAGUUGUAUAAAAAAAUAUAAUUAAAAAACGGACCCCUCCAGACUACAUCUGGGAGAUGAGCGUUGUAGAAAUGUUGUGACCAUAGUGACGACAUUGUAGACAAUUUAUAGGAAAACGCACACACACACAAAAUAAAUUCAGUCAUUUUAAUGUGUCAUAUGUUUCUGAGCAGUCAGAACUCGGGCUCGGUCGCCCUUUGAAUCUUCCUCAACAUAUUGGCUGUGUAGAAGAGAUGAAACAAGCUCAGAACGACCACAGAAACGAAGACUCUAACUAUACGAACUAAAUAAACUUGGAGAAAAAACAAUGAGAAACAACAAUAUAAUUACAUGCAAAUGUUUCUAUAGCAUAUCGAAUUUGGGCUGCGUGUUCAAAAUUAGGUAACAGUUAGAUAAACUUGUUUAUGCAAUUUAUAUAACUGAUUGUUACGCAAGUACCUUUCAACACCCUGCAAGUACCUUUCAACAUAUUGAAUAUUCGGUGGAUAUUUAAAAAAUAAAGUUUUACAAUCCACACCUUUUUUAUAUAUAGGCCUACAUUAAAAAAAAGUAAGAUUUCGUAUUUCAAUCGUCAUUAGAUCUUUAACAAAGUGUGCCAUGACUAUAAAAAUGGUAUAUUCUUAAUCAGGGGUGGAUGGAGAAGAUCAAAAUCAACAACCAAAAAAAGGUGUGGAUCGUUCUGCAUCCCCCCGAUUCAGAAUAUACCAUUUUCAUAGUCAUGGCAUGAUUGGUUCAAUAGCUAGUUAUGAGAGAAAAAUCAAUAUCCACGGAAUAUUCCGUAUAAAACUACUUUUAUCUCAGUAUAAAAUACAUUUUACCUCGGUGCCUGACCGGUGCCUUUUCCACCGAUCUGCAUCUCUCUCAUUCCUCCCUCUACAGAUGCAGCUCUGCAGCGCAUCCCAAUACAACCCAGAGAAUCCGUCUACAUGUCACCGCUACUCAGCCUACUGUAUAAGAAGUCUAUCGUCUAUAUUCAUAUGGUUGUAGCCUAUAUAUUGUGAAUCCAUUCUAAAGUAGACACAUUUUAGCUCCACGAUGCACAGCCGUUGAUAAGGUCUCAUAGCUACCAACGGUUGGACGAAGUUCUGAAAUUGUAUACUGAUGACAUGCAUUGACGUACUGGACACACCCGCAGCACCAGCAAGGCGCGAGGCCCACGAGCUCUGGGGGCCCAUGCUCCUGUCAUGGAUUUGAUUUUUUAAAUUCAGUAAAUCAUUUUGACAGUAACCCUCCCUAAAGUCAUUCAUAAAUCGUUUACAUUUCCAGAUGUAGUAGGAAGCAAAGUGUUUGUUUCAGGAACAUGACUGAAAAAGUGCCUCAGGACUUGACAUCCUUUUGAGUGAACGUAUAAGGGCAUAUCGCUGAACAAAUGCUGUGGUCAAGGCUACGAUGGCACCAGUACAAUGAGUGGAGCUUAUUCAGGUGUUCAAAAGCGAAUAUCAGACCGAGAGCCUAAUGCCUCUUAGAUAGUUCUUUAUGAGUUUUAGUUAAGAAAACGAUCUCUGCAGAAGCUACAGUUACAGGGAUGGUAAAAACACAUUGAUUACUGUAGCAACAUCAGGGAAACUGGGCAGAAGGAAGGAGGGCUUCAAAUACUACAGUUCUGCAACAUAUUUAAUUGAGCCUCUCAUUCGCCUUAAUUGCCUCCUCAACAAGUUACGGAAAGAGACGAACUGUAUAGGAAGCUCUGGGGACAGGUCGUCUGGGUACUAUACAGCCAAUAUAUUGGCAGAUGCAAACAGAUGAUCGUCUUCUGCAGAAAACAGUUCUUGACGUCUUAACAAAAAAGCGGUUUGCGAUUUACUUCAUUCUGGUAAAGCGGUAUUUGAGUUGCGUGGUUGCAAAUAUCAAAAAUCCCUUAUUAGUGGCAUAUCUCGUUAUGCAUCAUUCAAGACUAAGUUUAAAUUGUGUGCAAUGCACAAUGUCUCAGGAAAGACUGUCUGGGUUGGCAAUACUCAGUAUAGAAACAGUUGGGCCUGCAACCUGGACCUACAGGCCAUGGUAAAAACAUUUGCACACAUGACAGGAGGACUUCAGGAGACCAGAGAAGUCUCUUAAGUUGGAUUUGAUUGAAAUGAAUUUACCGUGAAUAAUGCAUCCCAUUUAUUUAAGCUAUUAGCCAGAUAAAACCAGCGUUCAACAAUAGUGGCUGGAUUGAUCCUCAAACCGACUCCUUUUUUCCUCAUUGUUAGGCUAUUUGACGUGUCAUUUUUAUAAAACGUUUAUAAAUAGCAUCUAAAUACACUAUAUAUACAAAAGUAUGUGGACAUCCCUUCAAAUGAGUGGAUUUGCUAUUUCAGCCACACCCGUUGCUGACAGGUGUAUAAAAUUGAGCACCAUAGAGAAACAUUGGCAGUAGAAUGGCUUUCCUGAAGAGCUCAGUGACUUUCAAAGUGGCACCGUCAUAGGAUGGCACCUUUCCAACAAGUCAGUUCAUCAAAUUUCUGGGUUGCUACAUCUGCCCCGGUCAACUGUAAGUGCUGUUAUUGUGAAGUGGAAAAGUUUAGGAGCAACAACUGCUCAGUCAUGAAGUGGUAGGCCACACAACCUAACAGAAUGGGAAUACAGAGAGCUGAAGCGCAUAGCAUGUCAAAAUUGUUUGUCCUCUGUUGCAAGCUAAAGAGUAGAGUUACCGCUUUCAAGGAGCGGGACUCUAACCCGGACGCUUAUAAGAAAUCCCGCUAUGCCCUCCAAUGAACCAUCAAACAGGCAAAGCGUAAAGACAGGACUAAGAUUGAAUCGUACUACACCGGCUCCAACGCUCGUCUGAUGUGGCAGGGCUUGCAAACUAUUGCGGACUAC
rnacentral:lncRNA from 8 species